CAAAGUAAUUCUAUAACAGCAGCACUUCCUGGGAGUGGCCUUCUAGAGUGCUCCCUUGUGUGUAUAGUUCAGCACAUACAGCAUUAUUAUAGAGAAUCCUCACAGAGCUGUGUACAGAAAUGUCUCAACUACACAACUUACUGUACAUAGUGAGAUACACAUCACUGAUUCUCACUGUAGCAACAGGCAGUUUUGCAAAUACAAUUGGACCAAAGGAUGAAGAUGUCCGCAUUGUCGGGAAAGACACAGACACUGUGACUCUUAAAUGUUCAUAUGAUACAAACAGUGAUUACAUUCUGCUUUACUGGUACAAACAAUAUCCUAACAGCGCACCACAGUUUUUACUGUAUAAAGGCGCAAGGUCAAGAUCAGAUGAGAGCACUCCUACUGACACUCGAUUAGAGUCAAAUACAAACAGAGACUCUACUGAACUUACUAUCAGAGGUCUAAAGCUCUCAGAUUCUGCGCUCUAUCACUGUGCUCUGAGAAUAGUAGCACAGUAAUACAGAACAGAACCCAUUGAGACACAUUUGGCAGUAGUUUCCAAGCUGCCAGAUGGUCUUUAUGUGAUGUUAACUAUUCUGUAUUCUAUUGGAGGGACAGCAUCAGAUUUUUGUUACCCUGUGACAGCUCGUUGACCAGAGAACACUGAAAACUUGGGACAGCCUUGGCUAUGGGAGGCACUA